GGUGGAGGGAAGGGAAUUAAGAGCAAGAAGACCACGUCAGGCUGCUGCCUUGGCCGGCAGGAAACAAGAGUGUGUAAAGAAAGCUGCUGACUCCUUAAGAGAGCUUUGCUUAUGAAGCUGAACUCAAAACUCACUGAGGCACCAACAGAAACACCAAUUAUGCCAUGACAAGGUGACCACUGGUAACUCACUGAGGCACCAACAGAAACACCAAUUAUGCCAUGACAAGGUGACCACUGGUAACUCACUGAGGCACUAACAGAAACACCAAUUAUGCCAUGACAAGGUGACCACUGGUAACUCACUGAGGCACCAACAGAAACACCAAUUAUGCCAUGACAAGGUGACCACUGGUAACUCACUGAGGCACCAACAGAAACACCAAUUAUGCCAUGACAAGGUGACCACUGGUAACUCACUGAGGCACCAACAGAAACACCAAUUAUGCCAUGACAAGGUGACCACUGGUAACUCACUGAGGCACCAACAGAAACACCAAUUAUGCCAUGACAAGGUGACCACUGGUAACUCACUGAGGCACUAACAGAAACACCAAUUAUGCCAUGACAAGGUGACCACUGGUAACUCACUGAGGCACUAACAGAAACACCAAUUAUGCCAUGACAAGGUGACCACUGGUAACUCACUGAGGCACUAACAGAAACACCAAUUAUGCCAUGACAAGGUGACCACUGGUAACUCACUGAGGCACUAACAGAAACACCAAUUAUGCCAUGACAAGGUGACCACUGGUAACUCACUGAGACACUAACAGAAACACCAAUUAUGCCAUGACAAGG